UACUUUUAAGUCAUUAUUCUGAACCGAGGGGCAAAACUAGUAUACUUUGUUUGGGGAUGAAUCUGAAAAGAAUACCAAGUCAGAUUCAGAGGUCCUUGGAGGCCAAGAUAUUUGUGAAUGUAGUAGCAAUGACUGGGGAUAUUGUUAAGCCAUCGUAGCUUAGAAUGUACUUGAUCCCAUGCCAGGAGUGUUGAACUUUCAUCCUGAGUCUAUAGCCACCUCUUAAAGAAUUGAUUUAAUUUUGCCUGCUUACAAAUAAUUAUGUAAUUGUGCUUGAGUAUUAAACAGAGAAAAAUAAUUCAGGCCUCACUUUAGUGAAAGCUGAAUACAUUUAAGAUAUUCAGACAUACAAUGAUAAGAAAGCAAGAGAUAUGAAGGAAAACCCCACUUUAUUAAAAAGGGGAAGCCAUUAAAAGGAAAGAUACAAACAGUAUCCACCCAACAGAUGAGGGCUUCCUGAGGAGAUAGGUUGAUGGCCAUGUUUUUGGCAUUUAGUUGCUUUCUGCUGAGUAAAUUAAUUAGAUAGUAGGAAAAAUGAAUGGCAGUUAAGAUCUCUGAGUGUCUUUCUGGUGCUAAGCAUCCAGGGAUCCAGGGCUCCUUCGCCCUGGUUUUGAAGCUUUGGUACCAGAAAGGGAGGAUGCCGUUGUUAAGGAGGGGUAGCCUUGAGAGGACUCGGAAAAGAGUAAGCGUUGAGCUGUGAGUGAGCUCGGCUCCUCCUCCAUUGCCCAUAAUAGCAUUUCCCACCACCACCUCAUCCAGUCAUGCAUGCCUCACCAGGCCUGCUAUUUCACAAAGAAAACAGUAGCCAUUAGACAACUCCCUCAACUUCCUGCUUCCAGACCCACAGGCUCACCUCCACCCACACCCACCCUCCUGAUGUCUGUGGAACAGUUCUGUCACUGCUGGGACUUCGGAUGUGGCCGAAAUUUGGUCAUCCUGAACAUUCAAAAAUCCCUGGCAUAAACCAUCUGAUUCAUCAAUGCUAGAUUGUGUACCUACCCCUUGCUGCCCAUGGGAGAGGGAACUUCUGGUUCCAGCUUUUGUAGUGGGAGAGAGGCCUGACUCCUACCAACACUUGCAAAAUGAGGGUUUCUCAGAAAAAGGAAGGGAGUUGGAUGUGGAUCGCCAAAACAACAGCAAAUAUUGACCACACCACCGGACUGCUCCGUCCAACCCUAGUGUUGCCCUUUUACUUACUUCCUUGUUCCCUCAACAAAUGCUGUUUCCUUUGUUGGGAUCACUCUCUUGUCGCUCCUCAGGGGGGUCUUGUGGCCACCUGGACCCCUUUUGGAGUAGAUGCUCUUUCAGAGAGUUCCCCCAACCCCCUCUACUCCCCUCAGUUGCACCACGUUUCAUUUGUUACAGUUAUUAGUUUUCUUUACCUUUGCCUCCAUUUCAUCAUGAGCUUUCUGACAGCAAGAUUUGUAUUAUUUUUUCUGAAUCUCUGGUGCUUGACCUAGGGCCUCUCAUAUAGGAGGGCCUAAUAAAGCAUUAGCAAAUUAAUUAAUU